rnacentral:tRNA from 1 species
CUCUCGUGGCGCAGCGGCAAGGGUGUGCCUGUAACGCGAUGGUUGUGGGUUCGAUCCCCACUCGAGGAA